UACAGAGGGGGCAAGCGUUGUUCGGAAUUACUGGGCGUAAAGGGCAAGUAGGCGGUGAAUCGGGUUGAAAGUGAAAGUCGCCAAAAAGUGGCGGAAUGCUCUCGAAACCAAUUCACUUGAGUGAGACAGAGGAGAGUGGAAUUUCGUGUGUAGGGGUGAAAUCCGUAAAUAUACGAAGGAACGCCAAAAGCGAAGGCAGCUCUCUGGGUCCCUACCGACGCUGGGGUGCGAAAGCAUGGGGAGCGAACAGG
rnacentral:rRNA from 1 species